GAAAAGAAAUUCCCCCCAACUUGCAAUUGAAAUUUGUUUGCCAACUCAAACACGAACAUGGGGCACCGGAGCCCCAAAAAACUUGGUCGAAAUUAGACGUGGCAAGCAAGUAAUGGAGACACCAGAAAGGAAAUGCUUAUUAUUUGCAUAAAUUCCACACAUACUCGUGCACAAAGCCGAAAGACCAAAGUGACAGGCUAAAGAGAGGCGGUGAGUUGAAAGAGCGAAAGAAAUGCAAAUUGUGUUGGCAAAUUUAAAUGUCAGUCAACAAUUCAGUUGUUAAACUCGCAUUACCCACAAAGCCAUAGGCACUGCUGGCCGUGCAUACAAAAAAAAAGAAAAAAAUGAAUGGAUCUUGUUACUCAUACGCCCCGUGGUCGGUUUUCCUAACACUCGUUACUCAUACGCCCCAUGGUCCAUUUUCUUUGGACUUUUGUCUUUUGCUUUCUGCGCUUAAUCGAAAAGCGUGCGUGACUCCGUCUAAAGGAAAAUGGGGUUGGGGGUGAAAGAAAGGCCGGCUUAUCAUUUUUCGGAAAGAAAACUUUCGACAACUUUUCACUUUUGUUAGGUAUUGCCGCAGCAGCUUUCGGUUUUGCCAUUCGAUGUCAAUUUAAAGUUUCUCCUCUACUUCCCUUUCAUCUCGUUCUUUUCUAUUGGUUUUUUUUUUUUUUGUUUUGUUUUUGAUUUUUUUUCUUUUGCCUUUUUUGUGCCGAAAUAAAAGUUUUGCGUGGCAAAAAGUUGGAGCAAUUGUGAGAGGUUGCCGUGCUGCUGCAUCCGGCAUAAUCGAUUCGCUUUUGGCUUUUUCAUUUUAAUAACUUUUGCAGCAGCCACGGCAAAAUAACAAGCACUGCAACAAUUACGUGCCGCAAGUGCAAGAGCAGCAAACAAGCGGCAAACAACGAAACAAAACUGCACGGAGCUGAGCUGAGCUGCACCGAACCGAACCGAACCGAAAGCAGUGGCAAUCGACAACAAUGGCAACAAAGGCGGGCCACAAAACCUGGAUCAGGAGCUGUGCGCCAAACUGCGAACUGGGUUAAACACUUGGCCGUAUUUUCCCACCACCUGCUCGCUCACCCAUCCGACCCGUUGCCCGGGCUUCCCUGGAUUUCCGUGAGCUUCCCAGAGUUUCUCCUCCUCGUGUCCCUUGACAUUUGGCCGGGGCAACUAACUAAGUUGCCAAUGCCGUUACUGUUGCUCCUCCGCGGGUGGAGGUGCCACUGCCACUGCCACAGCGCGAUGCAUUCAAGUGGAUGUUACCUUGCUCAUAAUUGAGGCACGCGCUAAGCGAAACAAAUAACAAGGGGAGCCGCACAAGCAGCUCAAGCACUGAUUGCUGCCCCAAAAACCCUUUAAAUUCAAGUUAGGCACUCAGGAAAAGAGGUGCUCAGAAUCAAGAGCCCGCGCCAAAAAUAUAUUUAAAUGUAAUUUAUUACUAUUCAAUUUGCCCAACUUCUUGUAGUCAUUUGAUGUAUUUAUUUAUUCUAAAGAAUAUUUUCUAAAAUACCAUUUUAUACUUUAUUUAUAUAUAGAUAUAGAGGAGAGACCCUAAUCGCAUAAAAACGGCUAAAAGAUAACUAUGCUUCUAUCAAAAUAUUAAGGGCUGAUAAAACAAGGUUGCGUACACACUGCAGAAAAGCCAGUAAUUUUCCCCAAAACACGUACUCGAUUCAUAAGCCAACAUAACACAUCGCUGGCACACUUAUGUGUGUGUAGUUUCUCUACUCACCGAAAGUUAAUUUCCGCUUGGGCGACGCACCUGCAACGAAAAUGGAAUGAAUGAAACUCCGACCACCGCAGGGCUCCGAAUCUCACGAUUGGCAGGCCAAUUAGGUGAAUUCAAGGCAAAAGUUUCAUUUUUUGCGAGCCGCCGCAAACAACGCAUUUCA